rnacentral:rRNA from 1 species
AACGAACGCUGGCGGCAGGCCUAACACAUGCAAGUCGAACGCUCCAGCAAUGGAGAGUGGCAGACGGGUGAGUAACGCGUGGGAACCUUCCCUAUGGUUCGGAAUAGCUCAGGGAAACUUGAGGUAAUACCGGAUAAGCCCUUCGGGGAAGGAUUAUCGCCAUUGGAUGGGCCCGCGUAGGAUUAGCUAGUUGGUUGAGGUAACGGCUCACCAAGGCGACGAUCCUUAGCUGGUCUGAGAGGAUGAUCAGCCACACUGGGACUGAGACACGGCCCAGACUCCUACGGGAGGCAGCAGUGGGGAAGUAUUGGACAAUGGGCGCAAGCCUGAUCCAGCCAUGCCGCGUGAGUGACGAAGGCC